GAAUCUGUAAAAUGGAUCAAAGUACUGACAUUUCUGCCUGUGACUCAUUUAAUGUUAAUGAUUUAAAUGAAAUUCCUACAUUAGAGAAUGAACAUACUGUUGCCAGUGCCAGUGCCGGAACUGAUUACAGUGAAGCUGUUUUUACGGAAACUCAAGUUGAUGAUUUGUCUACUAUCAUUAUGCCCAGUAAGAUUAAAAAACGAGGUAGGACUAAAGGGUCAGAACAAACUGUUAUUGGCUUGAAAAAAAGAAGGACCAUUAAGAUUCCAACAAAAUUUACGUUGAAAUCAGAAACCAUGCAAAAAACUCAAAUUCUCAGAGAAAUAGUUUCAAAUGACGAUGCCAUAAAACAAUGCUUAGAAGGAGAAUAUAAAAUUAAAAACAUCGACUUGAAAGAUUUUAAAUGUUUGAGACAUGUCAUUUUCGAUCCAUCAUUUAAUUUGGGUUUAGUUAAGGAUUUGUUUGAACUAGGGGCUUUUGAAAAUUUAAUAGACUUUAUUGAACACAACAAGGAAAAUCAUGAAUGGUGUUGUGCCACUUGCAACAAUGCAAUUGCCCAACUAAAAAGCAUAUGUUGCGAUAGCUGCUUGAUGUGGUACCAUUUUCGAUGUGUAGGAUUAGCAAAGACCCCAAUCAGAAGAACAUGGUUCUGUCGGGAAUGUUACUGAUAUUUAAUAUGCUAAAAAGUAGUAGUAUUAUUUUUUAAAUUUUAUUGUAGCAUUUCAUUAAUUUAAAUGGUAGGUAUGUCAUAAAGCCGCAAGUGUUUAUUUUUGUAUUAUAUUUGUUUUAAGUGUAUAUUACAUAAUUACAAAUGUAAACCUAUCUUUUCAUAUGGAAAUCCUUAUUCCCUUGGGUAAAUUCCUCAUAAAUGUAUAAAUAAUACUAUAGGUAAUUUUAAAGAUAUACUUGGCUUGAGCUGCUUCAGCUAAAACUUUAACUUACAAUUUGUGUAAAUUUUAACAGAAGGGUUGAUCGAGAUCCAACUCGUGAACAUUGUCUUUGUAGCUGUCAUUUCAAAGGUGGUAAUAAAUCCGUGGGUCCAACGAUUUUUCCAUGGAAUAAGGAGGGAACGUGGAAGUUCCAAUGCCCAAAAAACGUGCAAGAAGAAGGUGUCAUUCUAAAGAUGAGUAAGUUCCACAUUCUGCAUUAGAAGCAGAACUGAACAUUGAUGAAGUAUCAGAAGCUGGCCCGUCAACGUUGUUCGUGUACCCAGCUUUAGAC